rnacentral:rRNA from 1 species
GGCUCAUUACAACAGCUAUUAUUUACUUGAUCUUGACUCCAUACGUGGAUAACUGUGGCAAUUCUAGAGCUAAUACAUGCAGCAAAGCUCAGACUACAAUUAGACGAGCGCAUCUAUUAGACUAAAAACCAAUCGAGAGUCGGGGAAUUCAUCUUCUCCUCUCUCGUUACUUUGGUGACUCUGAAUAGCUAAGCUGAUCGCAUGGUCUUGUACCGGCGACGUAUCUAUCAAGUAUCUGCCUUAUCAACUUUCGAUGGUAGUUUAUAUGACUACCAUGGUUGUAACGGGUAACGGAGAAUAAGGGUUCGACUCCGGAGAGGGAGCCUGAGAAACGGCUACCACUUCCAAGGAAGGCAGCAGGCGCGCAAAUUACCCACUCUCAGCACAGAGGAGGUAGUGACGAAAAAUAACGAGACCGUACUCGAUGAGGCCGGUUAUCGGAAUGGGCACAAUUUAAAACUGUUAACGAGGAUCAAUGAGAGGGCAAGUCUGGUGCCAGCAGCCGCGGUAAUUCCAGCUCUCAAAGUGUAUAUCGGCAUUGCUGCGGUUAAAAAGCUCGUAGUUGUAUUUCAGCCUUACGACGUGGUCCAUUCGUUGAAUGCGAACUAUGUAUCGUAGGCUAGAUGUAUGUCGGUUUUUCCUUGCGUCGCUCUAAACGGCAGCGUAAGGUGGCUGACGAGUUUACCUUGAAAAAAUUAGAGUGCUCAACGCGGGCGUUUCUGCCUGAAUACUCGUGCAUGGAAUAAUGGAAGAAGACUUCGGUUCUAUUUUGUUGGUUUUCUGAAUAGAGGUAAUGGUUAAGAGGGACAGACGGGGGCAUUCGUAUCGUUGCGUGAGAGGUGAAAUUCUUGGACCGUAGCGAGACGACCUACUGCGAAAGCAUUUGCCAAGAAUGUUUUCAUUAAUCAAGAACGAAAGUCAGAGGUUCGAAGGCGAUCAGAUACCGCCCUAGUUCUGACCGUAAACGAUACCAACUAGCGUUCCGUCAGCAGUAAUUACGCCUUGACGGGCAGCUUUCCGGAAACGAAAGUCUAUCGGUUCCGGGGGAAGUAUGGUUGCAAAGCUGAAACUUAAAGAAAUUGACGGAAGGGCACCACCAGGAGUGGAGCCUGCGGCUUAAUUUGACUCAACACGGGAAAACUCACCUGGCCCGGACACCGUGAGGAUUGACAGAUUGAGAGCUCUUUCUUGAUUCGGUGGUUGGUGGUGCAUGGCCGUUCUUAGUUGGUGGAGUGAUUUGUCUGGUUAAUUCCGAUAACGAACGAGACUCUAGCCUACUAAAUAGUCGGCGAAUAAUGUGCGCAUGCUGCAGUCUCAUGCAUCAUGUGUGUGUGUACGCUGCACUGCGUGGAGGUUCGUGUGACUUCUUAGAGGGACAAGCGGUGUUGAGCCGCAUGAAGUAGAGCAAUAACAGGUCUGUGAUGCCCUUAGACGUCCAGGGCUGCACGCGCGCUACACUGGAGGAAUCAACGUGCAUUGUCCGUUCUCGAAAGGCAACGGUAACCGAUUGAAAAUCCUCCGUGCUCGGAAUCGGGAAUUGCAAUUAUUUCCCUUGAACGAGGAAUUCCUAGUAAGUGUGAGUCAUCAGCUCACGCUGAUUACGUCCCUGCCCUUUGUACACACCGCCCGUCGCUGCCCGGGACUGAGCCGUUUCGAGAAAAGCGGGGACCGCUCUUAUUGAGCCCUCAACAUUUUGGUCGUCAUCUCGCGCACGUUUCUGUGCGCGUCUUGUGCGGUUGUUGUUUGCUUGAUAAAGAGUAGAAACCGCCU